UACAGAGGGUGCGAGCGUUAAUCGGAAUUACUGGGCGUAAAGCGCACGUAGGCGGAUGUGUCAGUCAGGGGUGAAAUCCCGGGGCUCAACCUCGGAACUGCCUUUGAUACAGCACGUCUCGAGUCCGGAAGAGGUGGGUGGAAUUCCUAGUGUAGAGGUGAAAUUCGUAGAUAUUAGGAAGAACACCGGUGGCGAAGGCGGCCCACUGGUCCGGUACUGACGCUGAGGUGCGAAAGCGUGGGGAGCAAACAGG
rnacentral:rRNA from 1 species